rnacentral:rRNA from 1 species
AGCUCCAAUAGCGUAUAUUAAAGUUGCUGCAGUUAAAAAGCUCGUAGUUGCAUUUCCGAGGCAAGGGAUUAGUCCGACCUUUGGUGGGUAUUUAAUCCUCUUGCCUCGUCCUUGAGUGGUGCUUCUUGGUAUUAAGUUAUCGAGGAGAUAGCCGCUCAUCGUUUACUGUGAGAAAAUUAGAGUGUUCAAAGCAGGCUUAUGCCGUUGAAUAUAUUAGCAUGGAAUAAUAAGAUAGGGCCUCGGUACUAUUUUGGUGGUUUGAGAACCAAGGUAAUGAUGAAUAGGGACAGUUGGGGGUAUUCGUAUUCAGUUGUCAGAGGUGAAAUUCUUAGAUUUACGGAAGACGAACUACUGCGAAAGCAUUUACCAAGGAUGUUUUCA